UAGGGAAUCUUCCACAAUGGGCGAAAGCCUGAUGGAGCAACGCCGCGUGUGUGAUGAAGGGUUUCGGCUCGUAAAACACUGUUGUAAGAGAAGAAUGACAUUGAUAGUAACUGUUCAAUGUGUGACGGUAUCUUACCAGAAAGGAACGGCUAAAUACGUGCCAG
rnacentral:rRNA from 1 species